UACGGAGGGUGCAAGCGUUGCUCGGAAUUAUUGGGCGUAAAGGGCAGGUAGGUGGUCUCAUUUGUCUGGGGUGAAAGCCUUGAGCUUAACUCAAGAAGUGCCCCAGAAACGGUGAGACUGGAGUCCUAGAGAGGGUCGUGGAAUUCCCGGUGUAGCGGUGAAAUGCGUAGAGAUCGGGAGGAACACCAGAGGCGAAAGCGGCGAUCUGGAUAGGUACUGACACUCAACUGCGAAAGCGUGGGGAGCAAACAGG
rnacentral:rRNA from 1 species